AAUGCAUAGGAAUCUGCCCGAUAGUGGGGGAUAACCUGGGGAAACUCAGGCUAAUACCGCAUACGUCCUACGGGAGAAAGCAGGGGAUCUUCGGACCUUGCGCUAUCGGAUGAGCCUAUGUCGGAUUAGCUUGUUGGUGAGGUAAUGGCUCACCAAGGCGACGAUCCGUAGCUGGUCUGAGAGGAUGAUCAGCCACAUCGGGACUGAGACACGGCCCGA
rnacentral:rRNA from 1 species